GGUGACCACUUGUCCUGGCUUGCCUGGGACUGAGGGAGUUCUGAAAAGGUGGGAAGCUCCCCGUUUUAAAACUGGAAAAUUGGUCACUCUAAC
rnacentral:miRNA from 1 species